AUAAAAUACUAGUCCAAAAUUGCUUAGAAGUAGUCCGAAAGAAAUCAGAAAACAAGUUUUUUAUCACCCUCGGGCAAAGUGCAAUUCUAGAAGAAAAGAAAAAACAAAACAAAUAUCCAUUUAAUGUUACAACAUUGUUGAUUAUUUAUUAAUUAAAAAAAAAAAGAAAUCAAAUACAAAUACGUUUCAAAAUGCUGAAUAUGAAGAAAAUAUUGAGCAUAUUAUUGAUAAUUUCAUUGACGGGUCUGACAUGGGCCGAUCUAUCAACGGUGGAAAAGAUUCGG
rnacentral:sRNA from 1 species